rnacentral:antisense_RNA from 1 species
GGGGUUUGCAGCAAGAGUUUACUGCGGUCGGUAAUGUCACCGCCAAUAUGAUAAGGCAAACCACAGUUCGCGAACGAGACGUAAGGGCCCCGCUCGAACAUGAUGAUUUCGGCUUCUUCACUUAAACGACGGGCGCGAGCGGCGGCAGAAGCGCCACCGGCGACGCCGC